rnacentral:rRNA from 1 species
AUGGAAGAAGAGGGCGCCCCGGCGCUGCGCGUGAUCCGGAGCUCCAUCGACGCGCUGGGGAGAGGGUUCGAUGCCACCCACGACACCAGGCUGCUCUACUGCAAGGGGUCUCGCCUCGUCGACGUCGACGAUGGCGAGCUGAGCUCCAGGGAUCUGGUCAUGCCUGACGGGCUGACUGUCCCCGGUGUGCCCAAGGGUGUUGACUGCUCCGGUGAGAGUGGGGUUGGUGUACCGGAGACCGCUGGCCCGUGCGCCUUCCACGAGAUGGCUGGGUAUUUCAACAAAAAAGCCCAGCUUGUAGGAGAUAUACCUCUUGGAAGCUUUAAUUCAGCAUAUAGUUUUACUGGAUCCAAGAGAUUUGAUGCCAUGGCUACCCAAAGUCUCGGGAUGGAGGGCAAGACCAUCCCUUUAUAUAAGGUCCAACUUGUGCGACAGCCUUUGUCAGUGGUAGAGGAAGUUAAGCAUGCAGUGCCUCACUCAUGGGAACCAUCAUCUCUCGCAAGGUUCAUUCAGAAUUAUGGAACGCAUGUCAUAACAUCCAUUACCAUUGGCGGGAAGGAUUUGAUUUACAUCAAGCAGCAUCCGUCAUCAUCACUUUCCGUAGUGGAAAUUAAAAAUUAUAUACACGAUCUUGGACAUCAGAGGUUUACUGAAAAUGAAAUCCAUACAGGCUCAGGCCCUAUAAGAUCAACGAAUAAGGAAAGAGAAAAUCUUGGGUUCAACAGCCAAGGAGUAUAUCCACAACCUCCAAGUACACCAUAUAUUGCUGCAAAAGAGGAUGUCACUGUGAUUUUCAGAAGGAGGGGAGGAGAUGAUUUAGUUCAAAGUCAUUCUGAGUGGGCAAGAACUGUUAACUCAGCGCCUGAUGUUAUACAUAUGACCCUUUUUCCUAUAAUGACUCUGUUGGAAGCAGCCAUCCCUGGAAAAGACCAUCUCAUCCGGGCGAUCAACCUUUAUCUAGAAUAUAAACCUCCAAUUGAGGAGCUGCGUUACUUCCUAGAGUUCCAGCUUCCCAGAGUUUGGGCACCAAUUCGUGAUGAGCACCCUCUCCAUCAAAGGAAAGAGCCUGUGUGCCCAUCCUUGCAGUUCAGCUUGAUGGGGAAAAAGCUGUACAUCAACCAAGAACAGGUGUCAGUGGGUCGCAAGCCAAUAACUGGCCUAAGGUUAUGCUUGGAAGGUGCUAAGCAGAACAGGCUAUGCAUCCAACUGCAGCAUCUAGCAUCUCUUCCAAAGAUCCUCAAGCCUUACUGGGAUGCACACAUCACGAUCGGUGCGGCAAAAUGGCAGGGGCCAGAGGAGCAGGACAGCCGCUGGUUUGAGCCUGUGAAGUGGAAUAGCUUCUCCCAUGUCAGCACAGCUCCAGUCGAGCACCAUGAGGUGCUCAUCGGGGACGCCUCCGGCGUGUACAUUGUCACCGGAGCACAGCUCGGGGUGUGGGACUUUGGUUUGAAGAACGUCCUGUACAUGAAGCUUCUCUACUCGAGGGUCCCCGGUUGCACCACCCGGAGAUCGCUGUGGGAUCACAGCCCUGCCGCCGCCAGCAGCCAUCCGACAGUUGGUCCUUCUAAGAUCACGUAUCUGGACCCGGGGGGUUCUGGCGCAGGCUCGAGCGAUGCAGGGAAGUUCGUGAAGAUCGUGGACAGGUCGGAGCUGUGCAAAGGCCCCGACGACAUGCCGGGGCACUGGCUGGUGACCGGCGGGAAGCUUGGCGUUGAAAAGGGGAGGAUUGUUCUGAGAGUGAAGUAUUCCUUGCUGAAUUACUGA